rnacentral:rRNA from 1 species
GACGAACGCUGGCGGCGUGCUUAACACAUGCAAGUCGAACGGAAAGGCCCUGCUUGCAGGGUACUCGAGUGGCGAACGGGUGAGUAACACGUGGGUGAUCUGCCCUGCACUUCGGGAUAAGCCUGGGAAACUGGGUCUAUUAUCGGAUAGGAGCGCUUCUUCGUGUGAUGGUUGGAAAGUUUUUUUGGUGUAGGAUGAGCUCGCGGCCUAUCUGCUUGUUGGUGGGGUAAUGGCCUUCCAAGGCGGCGUCGGGUAGCCGGCCGGAGAGGGGGGACGGCCACAAUUGGACUGGGAUACGGCCCAGACGCCUACGGGAGGCAGCAGUGGGGAAUAUUGCACAAUGGGCGCAAGCCUGAUGCAGCGACGCCGCGUGGGGGAUGACGGCCUUCGGGUUGUAAACUCCUUUCGCUAGGGACGGAGCUUUUUGUGACGGUACCUAGAUAAGAAGCACCGGCUAACUACGUG